rnacentral:rRNA from 1 species
AUACGUAGGGUGCAAACGUUGUUCGGAAUCACUGGGCAUAAAGCGCACGUAGGCGGCCAAGUCAGUUCGGUGUGGAAGCCCUCGGCUCAACCGGGGAACUGCAUCGAAUACUGCUUGGCUAGAGGACGGUUGGGGUGAGUGGAACUCCUGGUGGAGCGGUGAAAUGCGUAGAUAUCAGGAGGAACACCAGUGGCGAAAGCGGCUCACUGGACCGUAUCUGACGCUGAGGUGCGAAAGCUAGGGUAGCGAACGGGAUUAGAAACCCCAGUAGUCC